UAAAGGAACAAAUAUCUGGAAUUGUUUCUGAUAAUAAUUUAACUAUUUCAUUUAUUAAAUUGUUAACGUUGAACGAUUAAUAAAUUAAUUUCUUUAUUUAUUAUCGUUGAACGAUUAAUAAAUACACUUUAGUUUUUUUUCCAUAAGAUUUAUCAGGACUUCGAGAAAUUAUCGUACGUAUAUAUCAAAAAAAAAAUUAUUACAGUUUAUCUUAAAAAAGUUCAUGUAAAGCUUCAGAGUGAGUCAAGAAUUGACCAGCAAUACGUGGUGGUCAACUGGUUUGGGUCGUCGGCGUCACUAUUAUUCAAUUUCUGCUUUCAUACAGCAGUCGCAAUCAAAUUUUCUGCUAUUAAGCAGUAGCGAUUUCAUAAAAUCUGCUAAAAUUAGCAGUCGUUUUGAAAGUUUCACUUUUAGCCAGCAAUUGAGCGCUUAUUUUCUGCUUUUGAAUAGCAGUUAUUUGAUAAGUUCUGCUACUAAUCAGCAGUCAAAUAUUAAUAUUUCUGCUCUCAGUUAGCAGUCGUUGUAAAAGUUUCACUUUUAGCCAACAAUUGAGCGCUAAUUUUCUGCUAUCGAAAAGCAGUCAAUUAAUAAGUUUUGCUACUAAUCAACAGUCAAUUUUAAUAUUCAAUCAACCAUACUGUUUCUUAUUAAUUAUAGUUUAUUAAAGUGUAGUAUUUGUUUUGAUC
rnacentral:lncRNA from 1 species